AGAAUGAAAAAGUCCUUUAUUGAUAAUAAAAAGUUAUAAGUAUAAGUUUAAGCCCUGAAAAUACAAAAUGUGUCAGUCAACAAUUGGCUUCUAGGGCACAAAUCCAACAAUGACCCCAUUCUGAAAAGCUCUUUUCGAGCUCUAUGAGGUUGGCUAUUUCACUGCGACUAUAAAUUUUAGAGCCUAAUUCAAUCAUUUGAC
rnacentral:lncRNA from 1 species